rnacentral:rRNA from 1 species
CACUGCCGAGAAAAGCCUCUAGAUAGAAAAUAGGUGCCCGUACCGCAAACCGACACAGGUAGUCAAGAUGAGAAUUCUAAGGUGAGCGAGCGAACUCUCGUUAAGGAACUCGGCAAAAUGACCCCGUAACUUCGGGAGAAGGGGUGCUCUUUAGGGUUAACGCCCAGAAGAGCCGCAGUGAAUAGGCCCAAGCGACUGUUUAUCAAAAACACAGGUCUCUGCUAAACCGUAAGGUGAUGUAUAGGGGCUGACGCCUGCCCGGUGCUGGAAGGUUAAGAGGAGUGGUUAGCUUCUGCGAAGCUACGAAUCGAAGCCCCAGUAAACGGCGGCCGUAACUAUAACGGUCCUAAGGUAGCGAAAUUCCUUGUCGGGUAAGUUCCGACCCGCACGAAAGGCGUAACGAUUUGGGCACUGUCUCAACGAGAGACUCGGUGAAAUCAUAGUACCUGUGAAGAUGCAGGUUACCCGCGACAGGACGGAAAGACCCCGUGGAGCUUUACUGUAGCCUGAUAUUGAAAUUCGGCACAGCUUGUACAGGAUAGGUAGGAGCCUUUGAAACGUGAGCGCUAGCUUACGUGGAGGCGCUGGUGGGAUACUACCCUAGCUGUGUUGGCUUUCUAACCCGCACCACUUAUCGUGG